GACGAACGCUGGCGGCGUGCUUAACACAUGCAAGUCGAGCGGAAAGGCCCUUCGGGGUACUCGAGCGGCGAACGGGUGAGUAACACGUGAGUAACCUGCCCUAGUCUUUGGGAUAACCCCGGGAAACCGGGGCUAAUACCGGAUAUGACCUGGUGCCGCAUGGUGUUGGGUUGAAAGUUUUUUCGGCCUGGGAUGGGCUCGCGGCCUAUCAGCUUGUUGGUGGGGUGAUGGCCUACCAAGGCGAGGACGGGUAGCCGGCCUGAGAGGGCGACCGGCCACACUGGGACUGAGACACGGCCCAGACUCCUACGGGAGGCAGCAGUGGGGAAUAUUGCACAAUGGGCGGAAGCCUGAUGCAGCGACGCCGUGUGAGGGAUGAAGGCCUUCGGGUUGUAAACCUCUUUCAGCAGGGACGAAGCGUGAGUGACGGUACCUGCAGAAGAAGCGCCGGCCAACUACGUG
rnacentral:rRNA from 1 species